AUGGCAGUUUCGGGUUUGAGAAGUGGCGCUUUACCGUUAAGUCAUCAUCACUGUCUUCGUUCACCAUUGGCAUCUCCUUCCUUCCUGAAGCUCAAUAAGUUCAAGGGAUUCACUCUUUUUGCUCGAUAUGCUCAAUCUUAUAAUAUUGAAAAGCUGCCCAAACUUGUGGAAGACAUUGUUCAGACAUCUAUAGAGACAGGUGGACAUAAGAUAGAAGAUUUUAGCAGAGAGAGUAUAGGAGAUAAGGAUGGACACAAGAUAGAAGAUUUUAGUGGUGGUUGA